GCGGGACUACAAUUUCAGCUCCGCCGUCGAAAUCUGCGCCGCUUUUCAUUCACGGCGGUGCUGCCACUAUGCUGGGUUUCCACCACCAGAUUCCGGGCAACAGUUUUGGGCAAGACCCAGAUGAGAAUUUCAUGAAGAAGAGGUAUAGAGAAGAUACAACUGCAGCAUCAACUUCACCAUCGUCAUCAUCAGCUAAACCGGAAAGAACCGGAGUUCAAGG
rnacentral:misc_RNA from 1 species